GACGAACGCUGGCGGCGUGCUUAACACAUGCAAGUCGAACGGAAAGGCCCUGCUUUUGUGGGGUGCUCGAGUGGCGAACGGGUGAGUAACACGUGAGUAACCUGCCCUUGACUUUGUGAUAACUUCAGGAAACUGGGUCUAAUACCUGAUAGGAGCUCCUGCUGCAUGGUGGGGGUUGGAAAGUUUCGGCGGUUGUGGAUGGACUCGCGGCUUAUCAGCUUGUUGGUGGGGUAGUGGCUGACCAAGGCUUUGACGGGUAGCCGACCUGGGAGGGUGACCGGGCACAUUGGGCCUGAGAUAGGGACCAGCAUCGAACGGGAGGCAGCGGUGGGGAAUAUUGCACAAUGGGCGGAAGCCUGAUGCAGCAACGUCGCGUGCGGGAUGACGGCCUUCGGGUUGUAAACCGCUUUCGCUUUAGACGAAGCGUGAGUGACGGUACCGGGUAAAGAAGCACCGGCUAACUACGUG
rnacentral:rRNA from 1 species